CACCCAAUUUUAUACUGUGCUUUCCUGAAGAGUCCAGGUAUGUGCAGAUGGUUUGUCACCCAAUUUUAUACUGUGCUUUCCUGAAGAGUCCAGGUAUGUGCAGAUGGUUUGUCACCCAAUUUUAUACUGUGCUUUCCUGAAGAGUCCAGGUAUGUGCAGAUGGUUUGUCACCCAAUUUUAUACUGUGCUUUCCUGAAGAGUCCAGGUAUGUGCAGAUGGUUUGUCACCCAAUUUUAUACUGUGCUUUCCUGAAGAGUCCAGGUAUGUGCAGAUGGUUUGUCACCCAAUUUUAUACUGUGC